GCAGAGGGAACAGCAAGAGUCAAGUUCCUGAGGCAAGAAUACCCCAUGACUGUUCAAAACAGCAAGAACCCAGUGAGGAUGGAGCGUAGUGAGCAAGGAAGACAGAGGAGGGGGUCUUACUUUCAGACAUGUGGUGGUCAUCAGGAAGACAAUAAUGAGGAUUGAAAGAACUACUCUGCCACAGCCUUCAAUCUGGAGUCACAAGUCAGGCAGUGACUGUAAUAGCCCAGGCUGAGUUUAUAUGGAGAUCCAACUCAACCUUUAUAACAUUUUCCUUAACAACCCCUCACUUCAAACCUCUCCAUCAAGUCUGAACUCUUAAAA
rnacentral:lncRNA from 1 species